rnacentral:rRNA from 1 species
UACGGAGGAUCCGAGCGUUAUCCGGAUUUAUUGGGUUUAAAGGGUGCGCAGGCGGGUAUGUAAGUCAGAGGUGAAAUUCUACGGCUCAACUGUAGAACUGCCUUUGAUAAUGUAUAUCUAGAGUAUAUUUGGAGUGGGCGGAAUGUAGCAUGUAGCGGUGAAAUGCUUAGAUAUGCUACAGAACACCGAUCGUGAAGACAGCUCACUAAACUAUAACUGACGCUCAGGCACGAAAGCGUGGGGAGCAAACAGA